UCGACAAUCGUUCUCUCAACUAUUUCCUUUUGCGGACACAAACCCGGACUUCAAAGGUGUGUUAUCCAAAUGUUUGCUUUAUUCAUCACAAAAGUUCAGCCAAGUUGAAGAUGAGUACAUAAGAGGAUAUCUGCGAAUGCUAUAUAAAAUGCCGGUACGUGGACUUCGACGCAAGGCGGACGGUAUACCAUCAGUUACAGAUACACAGUUGGCAUGGCCAUUUAUCCGUUGGAUUGAUCCCAAUAACGGCAGUUUCCUUGAGGAAUAUUUAACGACUUCAGUAUUGGAACAGCCACAUAUCGUAUAUGCCGCAAAACCUUUUGCAGCCGGCCAACUAUUCUUCAUUAUAAACAGGACAAUCCAUAUUGACAUAAGAAAUUCAAUCUAUGGGAUCGAUACGUUGUUUAAAACCUAUAAGGUUUUCGGAAUUAAAGUUCCAACAGAAUUAUGCAUGAUGCAAGAUUUUCUAGAAUGCGUAUUAUUCAAAACGCUCAACCGUAGUUCGCGAGCAACUGUAAAUCGCAUUGCAGUAUCUUUCCGGGAGGCUACUGAUG